GUUGACAAAUACAAGCUUCACAACAACACUUUCCUCAUACAAAUUUUCGAGGUUCGUCACAAGUGGGCGAAGCCUUAUUUUAGUGGCAAGUUAUGUGCGAAGCAAACCAGUACGCAAAGAAGCGAGAGUGCAAACCAUUUGUUGAAAGGCUACAUCCCGCCUGCAUGCCCCAUGAACCUUUUUGUGAAGCAAUAUAGCAAAUUGCAGUUCGACUGA
rnacentral:rRNA from 1 species